rnacentral:RNase_P_RNA from 1 species
GGAGUCGGCCAGACAGUCGCGAGGCGUGCAAACGUUUCGAGGAAAGUCCGGGCUCCACAGGGCAAGGUGCCAGGUAACGCCUGGGCGGCGCGAGCCGACGGACAGUGCAACAGAAAGAUACCGCCGAUGGCCCGCAAGGGAUCAGGCAAGGGUGAAAUGGUGCGGUAAGAGCGCACCGCGAGCCUGGCAACAGGCCGGCACGGCAAACCCCACCCGGAGCAAGACCGAAUAGGGGAGCAAUGGCGCGGCCCGCGUCGCUCCCGGGUUGGUUGCUCGAGCGCAGCGGCGACGCUGCGCCUAGAGGAAUGACUGUCCACGACAGAACCCGGCUUACCGGCCGACUCCACUU